rnacentral:rRNA from 1 species
GAUGAACGCUGGCGGCGUGCCUAAUACAUGCAAGUCGAGCGAACAGAUGAGGAGCUUGCUCCUCUGACGUUAGCGGCGGACGGGUGAGUAACACGUGGAUAACCUACCUAUAAGACUGGGAUAACUUCGGGAAACCGGAGCUAAUACCGGAUAAUAUAUUGAACCGCAUGGUUCAAUAGUGAAAGACGGUUUUGCUGUCACUUAUAGAUGGAUCCGCGCCGCAUUAGCUAGUUGGUAAGGUAACGGCUUACCAAGGCAACGAUGCGUAGCCGACCUGAGAGGGUGAUCGGCCACACUGGAACUGAGACACGGUCCAGACUCCUACGGGAGGCAGCAGUAGGGAAUCUUCCGCAAAGGGCGAAAGCCUGACGGAGCAACGCCGCGUGAGUGAUGAAGGUCUUCGGAUCGUAAAACUCUGUUUUUAGGGAAGAACAAAUGUGUAAGUAACUAUGCACGUCUUGACGGUACCUAAUCAGAAAGCCACGGCUAACUACGUG